GUGGGGAAUAUUGGACAAUGGGCGAAAGCCUGAUCCAGCCAUGCCGCGUGUGUGAAGAAGGUCUUCGGAUUGUAAAGCACUUUAAGUUGGGAGGAAGGGCAGUAAGUUAAUACCUUGCUGUUUUGACGUUACCGACAGAAUAAGCACCGGCUAACUUCGUGCCAGCAGCCGCGGUAAUACGAAGGGUGCAAGCGUUAAUCGGAAUUACUGGGCGUAAAGCGCGCGUAGGUGGUUUUGUAAGUUGGAGGUGAGAUCCCCGGGCUCAACCUGGGAACUGCCUCCAAAACUGCAUGACUAGAGUACGGUAGAGGGUAGUGGAAUUUCCUGUGUAGCGGUGAAAUGCGUAGAUAUAGGAAGGAACACCAGUGGCGAAGGCGACUACCUGGACUGAUACUGACACUGAGGUGCGAAAGCGUGGGGAGCAAACAGGAUUAGAAACCCCGGUAGUCC
rnacentral:rRNA from 1 species